rnacentral:rRNA from 1 species
UACGUAGGGUCCGAGCGUUGUCCGGAAUUAUUGGGCGUAAAGGGCUCGUAGGCGGCCAACUAAGUCAGACGUGAAAUCCCUCAGCUUAACCGGGGAACUGCGUCUGAUACUGGAUGGCUUGGAUUCGGGAGAGGAAUGCGGAAUUCCAGGUGUAGCGGUGAAAUGCGUAGAUAUCUGGAGGAACACCGGUGGCGAAGGCGGCAUUCUGGACCGAUAUUGACGCUGAGGAGCGAAAGCCAGGGGAGCAAACGGG